CCUCUCUGCCUUCUUCAGCAUGGAUUUCUUGAUCAUGACUUUCUUCGCCAGCCUUCAUAGCAGAUGCCUGCUGCCACUUCACAGCAAAGAGCAACAAAACAGAGAGCAAAAUCAUCUUCACUGUCUUCUGUGUGAUGAAUGCAGUCUUCUGUACACGUUGAUAAGGAACGUAGGAGAGAUGACACCAGAAGUGAUGUUGAUUCUCCUUACAAAACACAUCCAGAUCCAGUAACCAACAUCUCACUGGCACAUGACAUCACUUCCAGUUUGGGAGCUCCUGGACCCACCCGUUCUGCCUCACCCAUUUCAUAACUGGCACCACCGCCAUCUUUCUCCCGUCUAAUGAUAGACUCGCGUCUGGAAAGACAUGUCUCUCAAGGCAUCUUAAACUUGUGUUUAUUAUUUUGUCACAUAAUACAAAGGGUUUGCCUAAGAAUGGCCCAAACCUUUAUCUUGUUCAGUACUUCCUUUACAGUAUAAACAAUUGUAUAUUUUUCUUCUGUAGAAGCAUAUGCAUACUGCUCAAAUAUCAUAAUUUCUGUGACAUUUUCUAUGCAGAAUGUCAAACAAAAUUCUAGAGUAUUAUUAUUUAAUUGUUUGUAUUAAUGUGUAUAAAGGCAGAAUGUAGAAGGCGUUGUGAAGGGAAAGUUUCAAAGCUGAGAUCCAGUUUUCCUCGAUAAUUUACCACAGUGAUUAAAAUUUUGUGUGACCAGGUUUUGGUUUUCUGUCCCAAUGUCUCAUGACAAAGAGGUUAUCAUGCCUAGGUGUUAAUUUCUUAUUCCUUCCUUGUUCCUGGCUCCGACCCCUUUACCCUCUUUUUUCGUUUUUCUUCUUAUUUGCUCUGAGAAGUCAAGCAAA